rnacentral:rRNA from 5 species
AAUCCAGAGAUGGAUUUGUGCCUUCGGGAACUGUGAGACAGGUGCUGCAUGGCUGUCGUCAGCUCGUGUUGUGAAAUGUUGGGUUAAGUCCCGCAACGAGCGCAACCCUUAUCCUUUGUUGCCAGCGAUUAGGUCGGGAACUCAAAGGAGACUGCCAGUGAUAAACUGGAGGAAGGUGGGGAUGACGUCAAGUCAUCAUGGCCCUUACGACCAGGGCUACACACGUGCUACAAUGGCGCAUACAAAGAGAAGCGACCUCGCGAGAGCAAGCGGACCUCAUAAAGUGCGUCGUAGUCCGGAUUGGAGUCUGCAACUCGACUCCAUGAAGUCGGAAUCGCUAGUAAUCGUGGAUCAGAAUGCCACGGUGAAUACGUUCCCGGGCCUUGUACACACCGCCCGUCACACCAUGGGAGUGGGUUGCAAAAGAAGUAGGUAGCUUAACCUUCGGGAGGGCGCUUACCACUUUGUGAUUCAUGACUGGGGUGAAGUCGUAACAAGGUAACCGUAGGGGAACCUGCGGUUGGAUCACCUCCUUACCUUAAAGAAGC